UUUGUGAACAUACCACUGUUUGCUUCGGCGGGAUCGCCCCGGGCGCGCCUCUGGGCGUGUUCCGGAUCCAAGGCGCCCGCCGAGGGUAUCAAACUCUUGCUUUUAUAGCGGACUUCUGAGUAUUAAACAAAAUAAAUUAAAACUUUCAGCAACGGAUCUCUUGGCUCUGGCAUCGAUGAAGAACGCAGCGAAAUGCGAUAAGUAAUGUGAAUUGCAGAAUUCAGUGAAUCAUCGAAUCUUUGAACGCACAUUGCGCCCACCAGUACUCUGGUGGGCAUGCCUGUCCGAGCGUCAUUUCAACCCUCAGGCCCAGCCUGGUGUUGGGGAUUGGCUUCGCAGCCAGCCCCGAAAUGCAGUGGCGGCCUUCCGCAACUCCUCUGUGUAGUAGUAAUACCCGCAUUGGAUAGUGGUUGUGCCUCGCCGUAAAACCUCCAACUCUUCAAGGUUGACCUCGGAUCAGGUAGGAAUA
rnacentral:rRNA from 1 species